CAGUAGCCGCGGUAAUACGGAGGGUGCAAGCGUUAAUCGGAAUUACUGGGCGUAAAGCGCACGCAGGCGGUCUGACAAGUCAGAUGUGAAAUCCCCGGGCUUAACCUGGGAACUGCAUUUGAAACUGUCAGGCUGGAGUCUUGUAGAGGGGGGUGGAAUUCCAGGUGUAGCGGUGAAAUGCGUAGAGAUCUGGAGGAAUACCGGUGGCGAAGGCGGCCCCCUGGACAAAGACUGACGCUCAGGUGCGAAAGCGUGGGGAGCAAACAGGAUUAGAUACCCCUGUAGUCCCUGUCUCUUAUCC
rnacentral:rRNA from 1 species